GGAGAGGUGAAGGCUUGGUAGCAUUUCCACAGCACUUCUCCACUUCUCUCCCUAUUGUCAGCUCUGUGCCUGCUCUCCUGAGCGACCUGCCCCCAGUUUGAGACCUGUGUCUUCAGAGCAACCCCACAGAGGGAAGCACUGGCUUGGAAACCCCAGGCACAAGGGCAGAAUCACAGGGUGGCCUAGAGGAACCCUCAUGUUUCCCCAGCCAUGAGAAGUGUGCUGUGAGGCAGGGACAUCUAACCAAGACCUAUGGAUCAGGGCUCAGCCUUGGCAGGCACAGAAGGAGCUCCACUUGGCCUGGCUGUUCCUUCAUGCAGGCCGGUGGUGAAAAUGAGUUGCUUUGCACCAGUAGAUCUCCUGAAUAUGCAAUGAAGAAACCUGCAGCAGUCAGGAGCCCCAGCCAACAUGGAAGAUGAGACGGUGAGCUGGGAAACAAAGGUGAAUGAGAAAGGCAAUGGAAGCGAAGCAUUUCGUGCAAUAGCUAAAAUACAAAUCUCUGGAGACUUAAAGAUAUUGCAUGAACAUCAAUUUUGCAUGCCUAUUGUCUGAGUGGUAUUAGUGUGCGUAGGACUCGCAGCCCCCCUUCCUCUGAAUGAGGGGAGCGUCAUAGCAAAUCAGGAAAUAGCAUAAUUGAAUCAGCUCCAGCACGUGACAGGGCUUAAAAACCGCUUGGACGGGGCACUGAAAUGGCAACAUACCCCAAGCACCUUGGCAUCCAGCUUCCCCCACUGUCCCCAAAUUAAUUCUGAAAGGAAAGCAAGAUUUAAGCCGCAGCAGGAGACAGUCUAGUCAUGGAUUUCAGAUGAGUGGUCUCUUUCGACAUCUGUGAGACUUUAUGGCUCAGAAGCUGGAUGAAACAGCUUUCUGGAAACUUCUCUAGAGAAAAGGCAGCUAAAAAAAUGUGUGUCAUGCUUAUGCUGUUUACGGAGAGCUUGUUUUGUCCAUGGGAAUAAAAUAAAAUGCCAGUAGUUUACCACUGAGAUAACAUGUGAGAGUCAGAACAUGCUGCCACAGGUCUGAAAGAUACCGUUCCUACCACUCCCUCCCCUUUUGCCCCUACAUAAAAGUUGGCAAUUAGUUUUUACUGCACAUACAUGAAGGGAGAUACAUGUUUUGGCCUCUAUGUGAGAGCAAUAAUUCUCUUAAAUUGAUGUGUCAGCAAACUAAAACUCAAUAUUUUUUUCACACAGUGUAUUUUGCAGUCAGAGGACUUUCACUAAUCGGAGUAAAGCAAUUUGGCUCCCUGUCAUUGCUCACUGAAAACAUAUGAGCUGGUUGGCACGUUUGGCCUCCUAGAUUUAUCAGUGUCUCCCAUCUAGUGCAUGGGAGGUUCAGGGCUGCAGCUCAGACAGGAGUGAAUUUUUAUGAAUGCUUUUUCCCCUCCCUGAGAAUUCCCAGAGCGAGAUUUAUUCCUUAGUUUCAGAAAUAUUUUAUUUAUUGUCCAUAUCCCAUA